UACGGAGGGUGCUAGCGUUGUUCGGAAUCACUGGGCGUAAAGGGCGUGUAGGCGGCCUGCUCAGUCUGAUGUGAAAUCCCCUCGCUCAACGAGGGCACUGCGUCGGAUACUGGCAGACUCGAGUACCGGAGAGGAAGGUGGAAUUCCCGGUGUAGCGGUGAAAGGCGUAGAUAUCGGGAGGAACACCGGUGGCGAAGGCAGCCUUCUGGACGGAUACUGACGCUGAGACGCGAAAGCGUGGGGAGCAAACAGG
rnacentral:rRNA from 1 species